GACGAACGCUGGCGGCGUGCCUAAUACAUGCAAGUCGAACGGUCUUUUCUAUGGAAGCUUGCUUCCACUGAGAAGAUAGUGGCGAACGGGUGAGUAACACGUGGGUAACCUGCCCAUAAGAGGGGGAUAACAUCCGGAAACGGGUGCUAAUACCGCAUAGUUUUCUUGAUCGCAUGAUCGAGAAAGGAAAGACGGCCUUUGUGCUGUCGCUUAUGGAUGGACCCGCGGCGUAUUAGUUAGGUGGUGAGGUAACGGCUCACCAAGACGAUGAUACGUAGCCGACCUGAGAGGGUGAUCGGCCACAUUGGGACUGAGACACGGCCCAAACUCCUACGGGAGGCAGCAGUAGGGAGUCUUCCGCAAUGGACGAAAGUCUGACGGAGCAACGCCGCGUGAGUGAAGAAGGUUUUCGGAUCGUAAAACUCUGUUGUCAGAGAAGAACAAGUCGGAGAGUAACUGCUCCGGCCUUGACGGUAUCUGACCAGAAAGCCACGGCUAACUACGUGCCAGCCGCCGCCGUAACAC
rnacentral:rRNA from 1 species